AGCCAUGUUACGUUGAAACACUGGUUCUCAUACGAUCACUGAAGUUAAGCAAUGUCAUGCUUGGUCAGUACCUAGAUGGGUGAUUGCUUGGGAAUACCAGGUGCUGUAAG